AGCCGCACGUCUUUGUGACGUGGCAGUGGGGAGGUGAGGUGGCGACGAACGGUCAGCCAGGGUUAGUUGCUGUCCGCCCCUACCUGAAGUGUGUUGUGAUGGAUCACUGGAUGUAAUAUUUAUUCAAGACUUGGGAUUAUUGUAUUAUGCUGUUUAUGAAUCCAACUACUGGUUCGGAAAGUUCAUGGAGGCAAUCCAUAUGCGGCUGGAGCUACCGUUGUAAGCCGAGGGUCAUUAUCCACUCAUCUACCUGUACAUUAGCGGCGCCAGCACGACGAGACAGCCUCCUCUUGUCCUUCAGGUGUGGGAGUGAAGGAAAUGAGUGAAGGAGGUAAAAAGCGAAGAUGAAUAGGAAUAGACAGAUGAAAAUAUUCUCUUAUGGAUUCUCUCUAUUUUUGAGCGUGGCGUG